UACGUAGGGGGCAAGCGUUGUCCGGAUUUAUUGGGCGUAAAGAGCGUGUAGGCGGUUUGGUAGGUCCGUUGUGAAAACUCGAGCUCAACCUCGAGACGCCGGUGGAAACCAUCAGACUAGAGUCCGGAAGAGGAGAGUGGAAUUCCUGGUGUAGCGGUGAAAUGCGCAGAUAUCAGGAAGAACACCCGUGGCUAAGGCGGCUCUCUAGUACGGUACUGACGCUGAGACGCGAAAAGCGUGGGGGAGCGAACAGG
rnacentral:rRNA from 1 species